rnacentral:lncRNA from 1 species
GGUCACGAUUAAAGUGAUAACUCAUUAAAACGCUUUGAGGAAAUUGUGUUUCUAAACACGUAAAAGUAAUCAAAAUGAUGUCAUUGUCAUGAAUUUCUUCCUAAUGUUCUGUCUGAUCAGUUUCAUGAAUGACUAACGUGAUCCCGCCUCUUUCCUUCUUCUCUUUCCUUCUAGAAGAGAAACUGAAGCUCACGUCGGGACCGAACACGGGGGCCGUGGUGGGCGGAGUCCUUGGCGCCCUGCUCUUCAUCUGCAUCAUUGUCACCAUCAUCUUCUUCGUUCACAAACGCCAGGAGGACGCAGAGGCCCCCCCCAAGCACAAGCCCCCUCCCCCUGUGAAGGCCGGCAGCUCCACGGAGAUGCUGAACAAGCCAUCACAGCCUCCCGUCGCCACGGAAACGCUGCCUCUUACUCCGGGUGAAGUUUACUAUGAGCCAACGGGAGAGCCAAACACAAAUGUGGACGAACAGAUGGGCGGGGCCCUCAACGGUGGCACCCCCUCCACCCUGGACCAGUCCCUCAACUACGAUGACAAUCACCGUGGCAACGACCUGGACUCAGAUGCGCCGGCCGCCAACAUCGCCCGCGGCGAGAGCUUCGUGUCUCCUGCCAUGUACGUGUAA